UCGCAUUAAACCAACUGAGGCUCGAUGAAUUCGCUCGUACUGACCUCGCGUUCAAGUCGACAGUUGUUGCGGAGUCAAGGAGCGGGCAUACAAAGACACACAAUCGAUACGCAGCAAUCUUUUUUCGCAGUCCACGGACACGGAGCAUGACGCCCUGUACUUCGGCUUGCCAGUGGCAGUGGGCGCCUCGGUGAACACCAUCAUGCCGGUCUCGCUGCCGCUGGUCUUGCUCCACGACAUUGCGCCGGUCACGCGUAAGCAGCUGAUCCUGACAGGAGCCUUCGUGAAGACCGUGGUGGUGGCCAUCAUUCUUCUCUCGAUGAACACCACGGGAGAAUACGUUUUACACAGCAACAAGCAAUUCAACAACACCGCCGAGAGUCUGCAGACAUUCCUGCUGCGCUAAACCCACUCUAGAGAGACCGCGGGGACUGCGACAUUCUUUUCUUGAUUUCUUUCUCAUUUGUUUUUUCACAGUAAAGCGCAGGCUGACAUAUAGUGAAUAAAACGCCUUAUUCGACGGCUAAAGCAUGUUGACAGGUAAAACAAUA